rnacentral:rRNA from 1 species
GAAACCGUGUACGUACAAGCAGUGGGAGCACGCUUCGGCGUGUGACUGCGUACCUUUUGUAUAAUGGGUCAGCGACUUAUAUUCUGUAGCAAGGUUAACCGAAUAGGGGAGCCGAAGGGAAACCGAGUCUUAACUGGGCGUUAAGUUGCAGGGUAUAGACCCGAAACCCGGUGAUCUAGCCAUGGGCAGGUUGAAGGUUGGGUAACACUAACUGGAGGACCGAACCGACUAAUGUUGAAAAAUUAGCGGAUGACUUGUGGCUGGGGGUGAAAGGCCAAUCAAACCGGGAGAUAGCUGGUUCUCCCCGAAAGCUAUUUAGGUAGCGCCUCGUGAAUUCAUCUCCGGGGGUAGAGCACUGUUUCGGCAAGGGGGUCAUCCCGACUUACCAACCCGAUGCAAACUGCGAAUACCGGAGAAUGUUAUCACGGGAGACACACGGCGGGUGCUAACGUCCGUCGUGAAGAGGGAAACAACCCAGACCGCCAGCUAAGGUCCCAAAGUCAUGGUUAAGUGGGAAACGAUGUGGGAAGGCCCAGACAGCCAGGAUGUUGGCUUAGAAGCAGCCAUCAUUUAAAGAAAGCGUAAUAGCUCACUGGUCGAGUCGGCCUGCGCGGAAGAUGUAACGGGGCUAAACCAUGCACCGAAGCUGCGGCAGCGACGCUUAUGCGUUGUUGGGUAGGGGAGCGUUCUGUAAGCCUGUGAAGGUGUGCUGUGAGGCAUGCUGGAGGUAUCAGAAGUGCGAAUGCUGACAUAAGUAACGAUAAAGCGGGUGAAAAGCCCGCUCGCCGGAAGACCAAGGGUUCCUGUCCAACGUUAAUCGGGGCAGGGUGAGUCGACCCCUAAGGCGAGGCCGAAAGGCGUAGUCGAUGGGAAACAGGUUAAUAUUCCUGUACUUGGUGUUACUGCGAAGGGGGGACGGAGAAGGCUAUGUUGGCCGGGCGACGGUUGUCCCGGUUUAAGCGUGUAGGCUGGUUUUCCAGGCAAAUCCGGAAAAUCAAGGCUGAGGCGUGAUGACGAGGCACUACGGUGCUGAAGCAACAAAUGCCCUGCUUCCAGGAAAAGCCUCUAAGCAUCAGGUAACAUCAAAUC